AUCCGCCAGAAAAUUACGGGCGAAAGCCUAAAACUCAAAAGACUUGACGGUGUCCUACCCUACCUAGAGGAGCCUGUUCCAUAAUCGAUAUCCCACGAUAAACCAAACCACCUUUUGAUUAAUCCAGCCUAUAUACCGCCGUCACAAGCCCACCUUACAAAGACCUAUAGUGGGCCAAAUAGUAUACUACUAACAAGUCAGGUCAAGGUGUAGCUUAUAAAGUGGAGAAAAUGGGCUACAUUUUUUAUUAUAAACAAAACGAAUACUUUUAUGAAAUAAAACUUGAAGGUGGAUUUAGCAGUAAACUAAACAAGAAUAUUUAGAUUAA
rnacentral:rRNA from 1 species